rnacentral:rRNA from 1 species
CCUACGGGAGGCUGCAGUGGGGAAUAUUGGACAAUGGGGGGAACCCUGAUCCAGCCAUGCCGCGUGUGUGAAGAAGGCCCUCGGGUUGUAAAGCACUUUCAGUGAGGAAGAACGCCUGGUGGUUAAUACCCAUCAGGAAAGACAUCACUCACAGAAGAAGCACCGGCUAACUCCGUGUCAGCAGCCGCGGUAAUACGGAGGGUGCGAGCGUUAAUCGGAAUUACUGGGCGUAAAGCGCGCGUAGGUGGCUUGAUAAGCCGGUUGUGAAAGCCCCGGGCUCAACCUGGGAACGGCAUCCGGAACUGUCAAGCUAGAGUGCAGGAGAGGAAGGUAGAAUUCCCGGUGUAGCGGUGAAAUGCGUAGAGAUCGGGAGGAAUACCAGUGGCGAAGGCGGCCUUCUGGACUGACACUGACACUGAGGUGCGAAAGCGUGGGUAGCAAACAGGAUUAGAUACCCCGGUAGUC